GGUUAAGUGACUAAGCGUACAUGGUGGAUGCCUUGGCAGUCAGAGGCGAUGAAGGACGUACUAACCUGCGAUAAGCCGUGAGCAGUCGGUAAGAGACAUUACGACUCACGGAUUUCCGAAUGGGGAAACCCACUUAGCAUAAGCUAGGUAUCGCUACGUGAAUACAUAGCGUAGCGAGGCGAACCGGGAGAACUGAAACAUCUAAGUACCCCGAGGAAAAGAAAUCAACCGAGAUUCCCUCAGUAGCGGCGAGCGAACGGGGAUUAGCCCUUAAGCAUCUUGGAAGUUAGUGGAACGGUCCUGGAAAGGCCGGCGAUACAGGGUGAUAGCCCCGUACACGAAAACAACCUUGAUGUGAAAUCGAGUAGGGCGGGACACGUGACAUCCUGUCUGAAUAUGGGGGGACCAUCCUCCAAGGCUAAAUACUCCUGACUGACCGAUAGUGAACCAGUACCGUGAGGGAAAGGCGAAAAGAACCCCUGUGAGGGGAGUGAAAUAGAACCUGAAACCGUGUACGUACAAGCAGUGGGAGCCCUUCGGGGUGACUGCGUACCUUUUGUAUAAUGGGUCAGCGACUUACAUUUUGUAGCGAGGUUAACCGUAUAGGGGAGCCGUAGGGAAACCGAGUCUUAACUGGGCGUCUAGUUGCAAGGUGUAGACCCGAAACCGGGUGAUCUAGCCAUGGGCAGGUUGAAGGUUGAGUAACAUCAACUGGAGGACCGAACCCACUAACGUUGCAAAGUUAGGGGAUGACCUGUGGCUGGGGGUGAAAGGCCAAUCAAACUCGGAGAUAGCUGGUUCUCCCCGAAAGCUAUUUAGGUAGCGCCUCGGACGAAUACUACUGGGGGUAGAGCACUGUUUGGGCUAGGGGGUCAUCCCGACUUACCAACCCCAUGCAAACUCCGAAUACCAGUAAGUAAUAUCCGGGAGACACACGGCGGGUGCUAACGUCCGUCGUGAAGAGGGAAACAACCCAGACCGCCGGCUAAGGUCCCAAAGUUCUGGUUAAGUGGGAAACGAUGUGGGAAGGCUCAGACAGCUAGGAUGUUGGCUUAGAAGCAGCCAUCAUUUAAAGAAAGCGUAAUAGCUCACUAGUCGAGUCGGCCUGCGCGGAAGAUGUAACGGGGCUCAAACCAGGCACCGA
rnacentral:rRNA from 1 species